rnacentral:rRNA from 1 species
UACAGAGGGUGCGAGCGUUAAUCGGAAUUACUGGGCGUAAAGCGUGCGCAGGCGGUUUGUUAAGACAGGCGUGAAAUCCCCGGGCUCAACCUGGGAACUGCGCUUGUGACUGGCAGGCUAGAGUACGGCAGAGGGGGGUGGAAUUCCACGUGUAGCAGUGAAAUGCGUAGAGAUGUGGAGGAACACCAAUGGCGAAGGCAGCCCCCUGGGUCGAUACUGACGCUCAUGCACGAAAGCGUGGGGAGCAAACAGG